UGGGGAAUAUUGGACAAUGGGGGCAACCCUGAUCCAGCAAUGCCGCGUGUGUGAAGAAGGUCUUCGGAUUGUAAAGCACUUUCGACGGGGACGAUGAUGACGGUACCCGUAGAAGAAGCCCCGGCUAACUUCGUGCCAGCAGCCGCGGUAAUACGAAGGGGGCUAGCGUUGCUCGGAAUGACUGGGCGUAAAGGGCGUGUAGGCGGUUUACACAGUCAGAUGUGAAAUCCCCGGGCUUAACCUGGGAGCUGCAUUUGAUACGUGUAGACUAGAGUGUGAGAGAGGGUUGUGGAAUUCCCAGUGUAGAGGUGAAAUUCGUAGAUAUUGGGAAGAACACCGGUGGCGAAGGCGGCAACCUGGCUCAUGACUGACGCUGAGGCGCGAAAGCGUGGGGAGCAAACAGGAUUAGAUACCCUGGUAGUCCACGCUGUAAACGAUGUGUGCUAGAUGUUGGGUAACUUUGUUAU
rnacentral:rRNA from 1 species